CUUCCGCCGGCGACCGGCGCACGGGUGAGUAACACGUAUGCAACCUGCCCCUGUCAGGGGGACAACCCGUCGAAAGGCGGGCUAAACCCGCGUACAUGCCACCGGGGCAUCCCGGAGGCAGGAAAGGCUUCGGCCGGACAGGGAUGGGCAUGCGGCGCAUUAGGCAGUAGGCGGGGUAACGGCCCACCUAACCGACGAUGCGUAGGGGUUCUGAGAGGAAGGUCCCCCACACUGGUACUGAGACACGGACCAGACUCCUACGGGAGGCAGCAG
rnacentral:rRNA from 1 species